rnacentral:rRNA from 1 species
GACGAACGCUGGCGGCGUGCUUAACACAUGCAAGUCGAACGGGUCUGCCCUGUUUUUUGCGGGGUGGGUCAGUGGCGAACGGGUGAGUAACACGUGAGUAACCUGCCCCUCACUUCUGGAUAACCGCUUGAAAGGGUGGCUAAUACGGGGUGUUCUGGCUGUGCCGCAUGGUGUGGCUGGGAAAGAUUCACUUUUGUGGUGUUUUGGUGGGGGAUGGGCUCGCGGCCUAUCAGCUUGUUGGUGGGGUGAUGGCCUGCCAAGGCUUUGACGGGUAGCCGGCCUGGGAGGGUGGGCGGUCACACUGGGACUGAGACACGGCCCAGACUCCUGCGGGAGGCAGCAGUGGGGGGUAUUGCACAAUGGGCGGAAGCCUGAUGCAGCGACGUCGCGUGAGGGAUGGCGGCCUUCGGGUUGUGAACCUCUUUCGCCGGUGAAGAAGGUCCUGCUCUUUGUGGUGGGGUUGACGGUAGCCGGGUUAUGAAGCGCCGGCUAACUACGUG